rnacentral:rRNA from 1 species
UACGGAGGGUGCGAGCGUUUGUUCGGAAUCACUGGGCGUAAAGCGCGUGUAGGCGGCUUCUUAAGUCUGGUGUGAAAGCCCGGGGCUUACCCCCGGAAGGGCACUGGAAACUGGGGAGCUGGAGUACCGGAGAGGAGGGUGGAAUUCCUGGUGUAGCGGUGAAAUGCGUAGGAUAUCAGGAGGAACACCGGUGGCGAAGGCGGCCCUCUGGACGGAUACUGACGCUGAGACGCGAAAGCGUGGGGGAGCAAACAGG